CAACUAAGUAAGAAAGAUCUGAGAAGAAAAAAACGUGAAGAACCUGAACUAAAGUAUUGAUGGAAAUUGUUGUUAAUCCACAUGCAGAGAUUCCUUUUGCCCUCUGACCCAUUGCGAAGAGAAUACUGAAGAUUCUCUGAUCGUUCACUUGAAGAUCAUACCAUGUAGUUUGCCACAGUGCAUUCGCGAUGUCUUCUGUGUGAUCAAGAAGAAUUUGACUGUUGUACGACAAGACGAGUAGUUGAAAGAAGACAUUGGAAAUGAGAAAGACCGUCCCUAUGGAGAUUGAAAUGAAACGCGCAACGUACAGCGAAAGGCAGAGAAAGGACACGAACGUGCAUAAAAUAGGCAUUUCUCAGGAUCUCUCCGCCCUCAUUCCAUGCAACAUCGCGGCAAUUUAUGCGGGAAAUUAGCGCAGAAAUUGCCCGAAGUUCUCCUGAGAGGUACCCAACACUGAUGGUCAAGACAAAGUCCAAUCCAACAACAACAGAGCCCAAAACAACAACUGUUACAAGUUGCACAGCAAUGUUGAGUGGUCUGUAGAGGAUGCUCGUUUCCGGUAGCCACGGGAGGGUGUACAAAAGGGGGGAGACGUAGUUACUCGCGUACGUGUUGUAAGCACUCAUCAUUAUCACCGUGAGAACGGUCAGAGUGAAGUCGAAUCUGCAAAAAAAUCAGUAAAAAAAAGCAAAUUCAGCGUCUUAAUAAAUUCAGCAAAUUAUUUUAAUAAAGAAAUUUCAUUCAGAAACUAAAGAAUUAAAUUUAACAAAUACCUAUAUAAAGAAAAAAGUUACAAAAAAAAGUUAAGCAAUAAUUUAAAAACUGAAAAAGAAAUCCAGCAGGUAAUAAAUUUAUUUAGAAAAUUGAAGGAAAUGAAUUCAGAAACUAAAGAAAAUUAAGUCAGAAACUCAAGAAAAUUAUUUCAAAAAUUGAAAAAAAUACCUAAUGUUUUAAUUAAUUUACAAACUGAAAAAUCAAUAUCGCAAUGAAAAAGAAUUCAGCAAAGACAGAAAAAAAUUCUGAUAAUAAUUCAGCAACUGACACGAAGUAAUUGAAUUCCGGUUAUUUAAAAAAAAGAAACUGAUGAAUUAAGUUAAAAGCCUAGAAGCUCCAGUGGUAAAGAGAGCUAAAGCGCCACUCAAUACCACCCAUCACUGGGGUUGUGGGUUCGAUUCCCGCAGCGGUUCGCCGUUUCUGGCCUGGCGCUUCCUUCCCUUUCUUUCCUUUCUACUCCACAGCUAUUCCUUUCCUGCUCGGACGACUGCUGCCCCCAAACGGGAUGGAGCCAACAUCAACAUCAGCGCCAUCUGCGAGACGGAAGGGCAACAAGUAGACAGAGUCCCAUAGUCGUGUGCCGGUCAAUCAGCGAUAAUGUGCAGCUGCAUACAGUGAGUGCCUGCGUUUGCGGAACUUCCUAUAUAUAUGGGUCGGAGCCAAAGAUGAACAGAGCAGCCUGGUGGCGGAGGGACAACGCUGGUAAAACCGAUCUACACUGUGUGGCCUGCCGAACGAACACCAGUGCCCAGCGUCUGUGCUGAAUGAUUGCGGAACUUCCCGUGCAGUCGCCACCGACGGGACUCUCCCCCUACAAAAUCUACAUUGUAAUUAGAAACAAAUUGAAUUUGUGAUAAGAAACAUUGUAAAUUGAGUAGGAAAA